rnacentral:lncRNA from 1 species
GGCCGCCAGGUGCUACCACCAGAGGGCCCUGCGGGCGGGUCCCUUAGGGUCGCCCUGGCCCAGCGCGCGUCCUCCACGUUCUGUGGGAGAGGAGCGGGAACCGGCCGAGAGCGGCUUAUAGCACAAAGGAGACGCGAGAGUCCUGGAGCCCGCGCCCGCCACUCUUCUUACAGCCCUGACUCGGAGCAAACCUGAGAAAAGGAAAUUGGAAGCAAUUAAGAAAAGUGGAAUGUGCCGAGGAGCACGGAGUAACUUUGGGUCCAGUGGAAACAGUGUACUAGCCUGUCACACUCUACUCCGUCCCUACAAACAGGAGGAAAUUGGCUGAAGGAGGUUUGAGGAGGAAGUAGAGAAUCUCUGUCAAAUCACAGCAAGCAGACCUCUAGGACCAGCCCUUGCCAACACUCUUGUCCCCGUGCAUCUGAACGUUAUAGAGGCUGAUCACUGUCCCGAACUCAUCCUGAAGAUCAGAAAAAUGAUUUUGCUUCAAUGGCUGUCUUCAGUCACUUCUUCUCUAGGAGUUUUUGCCAGUGAAGUUUUCUGUCAGUGUCUGUUUUAUCAAACACUCCUGUACCGGUUAUACCAUGAAGCAGUACUUCUUAUUAUAAAUAAUAGCCCACCUUGAGACAUUCUGCCCUUCUUCUAAACUGUAAAAGUGGGACAUGCCAGAGUCCAUUGGAAAUGAUCUGACUUGAACAUGGAAACCCCUGCCCUUGCUUGCCAGCUCAUCUUUCUGAGAGAAUGUCAUUCCUGAAACACCACCUAUCCAUUCCCGCACCUGUUACAAAGCUUCAUUCCAGGGAAGGAGACAGUUAGGGUUGAAAAUGACAUUGCAUCUUUCUCUUCAGUGUUGUUGAUGGCCUGACUUUCCUCUUCCUUCUCUUCAGUGUUGUUGAUGGCCUGACUUUCCUCUUCCUUCAAGGUUAAUCUCAACUCUAAAGUCUAAAUGGAUCGUAAUUUCACUAUAUCCUAGCUGUAACUCAACCAAAAAAAAAUCAGAAUUAAAA